rnacentral:rRNA from 1 species
GAUCCUGGCUCAGGAUGAACGCUAGCUACAGGCUUAACACAUGCAAGUCGAGGGGCUGCAUGGUCUUAGCUUGCUAAGGCCGAUGGCGACCGGCGCACGGGUGAGUAACGCGUAUCCAACCUGCCUUACACUCUUGGACAGCCUUCUGAAAGGGAGAUUAAUACAAGAUGUUAUCAUGAGUAAGCAUUUUCGCAUGAUUAAAGGUUUACCGGUGUAGGAUGGGGAUGCGUU